UACAGAGGGGCAAGCGUUAUUCGGAAUUAUUGGGCGUAAAGGGCGCGUAGGCGGCUUUGCAAGUGACGGGUGAAAUUCCCUCGGCUUAACCGAGGAACUGCCUGUCAAACUGCAUGGCUUGAGACCAGGAGAGGUGAGUGGAAUUCCCAGGUGUAGCGGUGAAAUGCGUAGAUAUUGGGAGGAACACCAGUGGCGAAGGCGGCUCACUGGACUGG
rnacentral:rRNA from 1 species